AUGCGCCGCCGCGCUGGCAAGACAUGUUCCGGCGGCCUCGCCGUCGACCGCCUCAACGCCCUCCCAGACGCGCUGCUGCACCAUAUCAUGUCGUUCCUCAGGGCGUAGGAGGUGGUGCCCACCUGCGUGCUCGCGCGCCGGUGGCGCCAUCUCUGGGCGUCCACGCCCUGCGUCGACCUCCGCGUGAGCCACUCCGGCCGUGAGGACGACACGCCGGAGGAGUUCUAUGACUUUGUGGACAGCCUCUUCCUCCACCGCGAUGUGUCGGCGCCGGUGGACACGCUCCGGCUGCGGUCCAGCGAUGAGUAUGCUGGCUUCUGCGAGGAAGAUGCCAACAGGUGGAUCAGGACUGCUGUCAGCCGCAAUGCGCGGGCUAUUCAUCUUGCUGGACAUCGGGAGGGAGUCGCGUUGUUGGACCGCGGAGUCGCGUUGUUGGACCGUGUGCACUUCGUCUCUUGCCACCUCAAGAUCUUGAAGUUGUCGCACGCGAGGCUCGAAGAUAGGAUCCUUGGGCAGCUUUCUUCUAGUUGCAAAUCAUUGGAAGAACUGGAUCUCAAGGACUGCUUGUUCAAAGGCCCUGAGAUUGUGUCUGCCUCUCUAAAGACUUUAAUCAUGCUCAAAUGCACAUUCAAUUGAGACUUCUCCAUUGCUGCUCCAAAUCUGGUACUUCUGCGCCUCAUCACACCUUCGGUUCGAGUUCCAUCAUUUAAGAAUCUGGGAUCACUGGUCACUGGAACUAUCAUACUUGAUGACUCUCUCUUGAGUGAUGAUUUUGGACACAUCAAUGAUGAUGAUGAUUUGGAUGAAACCACCGAUGAUAACGAUAAGAGCAAGAGUUCAAAGGUUGGAUAUCGUUUGCCUCCAAAAAAACAUGAGCUUCAUGGGUACAAGGAUAAGUAUGGUUAUGGCAGCGAUAUUGAGAGUGAUGACAAUACCUGUGAAUAUAGUGAAAUUGCAGAUGGCUACCUUGCUGAUGGCCAGAAUUUCAAUAAAGAAGGUAACUAUCACGACAAUGGUAGGAGCCAUGAAUGCAAUGGUAGUAAAAUUUUAGGUGGCUGUAAUAUUCUCCAUUGCCUUUCGAGUGCUACAAGUUUGGAGUUGUUAGCUGAUGCUGGAGAGGUGGUUCUGAGUAGGGAACUGAAAAGUUGUCCAACUUUUAUCAACCUGAAGACCCUGUCCCUUGGUGAAUGGCGUAUGACUGCUGAUUUUGAUGCAUUGGUUUUCUUACUGCAGCAUUCGCCUAAUGUAGAGAAGCUUUUUCUCCAACUUACAUUGAAGUUCAACUCCAAAAAGACAUGGAAAACAGGUAUAGAAUUGAAGGAGAGAUCAUUUACUUGCGAACAUGUUCGAAUUGUGAAGAUCAAAUGCUCAAAGGAUGAUGUGAGAGUCCAUACAUUGGCACAUUUGUUCAUGGCAAAUGGUAUACCCACUGAGAAGAUAUAUGUCCGUCGCAGUGGGAGUACUUGUGAGUCAUACCUUCUAACCUUCUGA
rnacentral:rRNA from 1 species